AGCUCCAAUAGCGUAUAUUAAAGCUGUUGCGGUUAAAAAGCUCGUAGUUGGAUUUCUGUCAAGGACAACUGGUCCGCCCUCCGGGUGAGCACAUAGUUUGGUCUUGGCAUCUUGCUGGAAACUGUUGCUGCGCUUGGUUGUGUGGUGCAGCUUUCAGCACUUUCACUUUGAGGAAAUUGGAGUGUUUCAAGCAGGCACAUGCCUUUGGACACAGUAGCAUGGAAUAAUUAGAUUGGGCUUUUGCUCCAACUUGUUGGUUCCUGGAGCUGAGGUGAGAAUCAAUGGGGAUUGUUGGGGGCAUCCGAAUUUAGCCGUCAGAGGUGAAAUUCUUGGAUCUGCUAAAGACGGACAACUGCGAAAGCGUUUGCCCAGGAUGUUUUCAU
rnacentral:rRNA from 1 species